GGGGCUGAUCGGUUUCGACUUGGGACGUUAGUUCCAGGGGAAGCGGGUCGAGGAGCCAGCGACAUCUCGUAAACGACCGCUGGAAACCACAACUGCCAACGCUAAGCGCAGUUCCUUCGCUCUCGCCGCCUGAGCGGUGAUCGAAGCGUCAGACCGGGCAUCCGUCUCCGUCCCGGACCCUGGCGUCAUCUAGGAGACUUGCUGGUCACCUCCAGUCAGGAGGGGUGACCGGGACUCAAACCUGACUGAGUCUGUCGGCGACGUGUCUGCGCGAGCGCCGGGGCUGAGAACACGACAUCGCAGACUGCACCCGGAGAAGACCUGGUUCGACGCUCGAGGACGCGGGUUCGAUUCCCGCCAGCUCCACAC
rnacentral:tmRNA from 1 species